CUUAAAAGCAUCAAUCUGUAGGAAAAAACUAAAGCGUUAAAACAAAUCUCUCUGAGAAGCUGAGGAAAGUAGUCAGAAGCUAUGAUGAGACAAGACGGUUCGGACACAUGCAGAGAUGUAUAACAGUGCUUAAGGAGAACAAGACACGACAGGAUUACACAAGACAGUACAACCUCUGGCAAACAAAAUGGAUGAGCUGCGACUGUGCACCACAACACGUGGGUGAAUGGUGGAGUGUAACAUCAUGAUUCAGACGUGGUUAAACUGUAACAGCGCGGUGGAGCUGGAUGUUCGAAGCAUGUUCAGAGUGAACAGAGUGGCAGUAAACUCCGGUAGGAAUCGAGGAGGAG